rnacentral:rRNA from 1 species
GAGUUUGAUCUUGGCUCAGAACGAACGCUGGCGGCAUGCCUAACACAUGCAAGUCGAGGGGCAGCACGGUAGCAAUACUGGUGGCGACCGGCGCACGGGUGCGUAACACGUAUAUAAUCUGCCUUUAACAGGAGGAUAGCCCGGAGAAAUCCGGAUUAAUACUCCAUAACAAUAGAAGAGGCAUCUCUUUUAUUUAAAAGCUCCGGCGGUUAAAGAUGAAUAUGCGACUGAUUAGCUAGUUGGUAGUGUAACGGACUACCAAGGCGACGAUCAGUAGGGGAUCUGAGAGGAGUACCCCCCACACGGAUACUGAGACACGGAUCCGACUCCUACGGGAGGCAGCAGUAAGGAAUAUUGGACAAUGCCCGCAAGGGUGAUCCAGCCAUGCCGCGUGCAGGAAGACGGCCCUAUGGGUUGUAAACUGCUUUUUGUACCGGAGAAAACCUCCCCUCGUGAGGGGAGCUGAUAGUAAGGUAAGAAUAAGCAUCGGCUAACUUCGUGCCAGCAGCCGCCGCCGUAAG